rnacentral:rRNA from 1 species
UACGGAGGAUGCGAGCGUUAUCCGGAUUUAUUGGGUUUAAAGGGUGCGUAGGCGGGAUGCCAAGUCAGCGGUAAAAAUGCGGUGCUCAACGCCGUCGAGCCGUUGAAACUGGCGUUCUUGAGUGGGCGAGAAGUAUGCGGAAUGCGUGGUGUAGCGGUGAAAUGCAUAGAAAUCACGCAGAACUCCGAUUGCGAAGGCAGCAUACCGGCGCCCUACUGACGCUGAGGCACGAAAGCGUGGGUAUCGAACAGG